rnacentral:rRNA from 1 species
UACGUAGGGGGCAAGCGUUGUCCGGAAUCAUUGGGCGUAAAGAGCGUGUAGGUGGCUCGGUAAGUCCGCUGUGAAAGUCCAGGGCUCAACCCUGGAAAGCCGGUGGAAACUGUCGAGCUCGAGUCCGGAAGAGGCGAGUGGAAUUCCUGGUGUAGCGGUGAAAUGCGCAGAUAUCAGGAGGAACACCAAUGGCGAAGGCAGCUCGCUGGGGUUGUGCUGACGCUGAGACACGAAAGCCAGGGGAGCGAACGGG